rnacentral:tRNA from 1 species
GCGAAUGUAGCUCAAUUGGUAGAGUAUUGCCUUGCCAAGGCAGGGGUUAAGGGUUCGAGUCCCUUUAUUCGC